GAGGGUAUAGCUCAGUGGCAGAGUGCAUGUUUAGCAUGCAUGAGGUCUGGGGUUCAAUUCCCAGUACCUCCA
rnacentral:tRNA from 1 species